rnacentral:misc_RNA from 1 species
CAAAAAAAAAAAAUAUUAACUAUGACAUUAAUUCAACAUUUUAUAUCUUGUGAGCACUGAACAUAACUUAUCAUGUUGUUUUUGGAGACUUGAAGAAGUUUUUCCCUUUUUUGCGCAAAACUCAAUUCAAUAUAUGUGCUCUAUCAAAUUUUUAUUUAUAAGAUGUAUAAAUGUAUUAAUGAUAAAAUAAAAACUGCAUUUAACAAGUACAGUUUGUCAUUUUAGACAUGAUGACAUACUAAUAUUCAUGGUCAUUUAGAUGGGAAACCAUCAUACCAAAUGUUUGACAAUUGAUUGCAACUGUUGAUUGAGAACAAAUAAUCAUUGACUGUCAACCGUUAACCACAAAUGUUAAACCAAACAGUCCUUAAAUUAGGGGGUGGUAGUGAUAGUUUUUUCCUAAAGGUUGACAUACCCCUAAUUUUACAUGCUUCCGCCAAGUGGAUAUUAAUGGCAAAGAAUAAAAUGUCAUUGCUGAAAAAGCACUAAUGAAUCUACAAUUUUUCCCUCCCAUCUCAAUGCAUUUUGCAAAUACCCCUAGAAUAAUGUACUAUGGAUUUACAAUAAAAUAACUCUCCUAAAUAAAAACAAGGACUUUAAAUUAAGUGUCUAUGAUGACUGUGUCUACAAGAUAACAUUGCUAUAAAGAAUAUUAUAUAGCAAAAAG